rnacentral:tRNA from 1 species
UGGGGUGUGGCUUAGCGGUAGAGCUCUCGACUCGCAUGUGAAAGACCCUGGGUUCCAUCUUCAGCACCACAU